CGGACUGUGUGGAAUGGCAAUCCUGCCAGAAUAUGUAGCUGUGGACUUCCUCCAUCCUUGUAUGUAUUAUUUCCUUGAGGUUUUCUUUAUUUUCUGAGGUUGUUGUUUGUGACAAUUAUACUCCCCUCUCUUUUCAGUUUAACCUUUCUUGGCCAAAUCCAAGGUCAGAGAGAGCGAUCUGCUACAGUCUGCCUAGUAAAAUGCACGUCUCCUGAUUAGGAAAUUGAGCUUCUUCCAUUUACCAAGCCUUGGUUGCUUACAGGGAGAGAUGCUGACUCAUAGAACAGGCAAGGUGAUUCAUAUAUGCAAAUACAUAAUUUAUCUACUCACACUGAUUUUGUUAACAACAGGUCUGUGGCAUCUGAGGAGCCAUCAAGUACUCAGGUUUCAUUUUGCAUAAUUAUACAAUAUGCGAUGAUAUCAUCUCAUGUCUCCUUAUUGUUGUAUCAUCACUUUCCCUCUGUAGAGAUGGAGCUUUAUGAAGGCAAGGGCUUCUAGGCUUUUGUUAACUGGAGUUACCAUCAUACAGAAUAGUGCCUAGUGUGGUGGAAACUCACUAAAUGUCUGAGUAACUGGGUGACUGAAUACAUGGUUAGGAUACCUUCUUGUCUUUGCUUCUCCUCUUGGUUUCUGCAGUUUUCUGGUAUUUCCUUUGGGGAGGGCAUGUAGUAACCCCACAAGGAGAGACCUUAUGAGUCCUCUUCAACAUCACAUCAUCCUAAUACAAGGAGCUGGAUUCCCAGGACCAAUCUUUCUCACGAACAUCAGCUGAUUUUAAGUCAGUCUUUCUGUAUAUUUUUUUUUUCUUACUCUCCCUUUACUUCUGGCUUUACUUAUAGUAGAAACCUAUUUUUAGGUUAUCUUUAUGUGCAUACACUUAUUUCUAAAAUGUUAUUAAACCACAUUUUAUGCUUUAUUUUGUUCCCCACAAACUAUAUUUUAUUUUCUUUAUACCUUCUAAUUUGCUCCUCUCGUAGAUAGUUCUUCCCUUUCAAGUCACUAAACAGCAAUUUGCCUGAGUUUUCUUGAUAGCAUCUCUCUUUAUUUUUGUAUCUUCCACAGCAUCUUUCAGCACUCUUUCAAUAUGGGUCAGACCAAAUAAGUACCUUCAAUGUUCUUGGCAAGUAUUAACUCCUAAUGGCUUACUCCUUUUUAGUUGUCCUUUAAGUUAAGUAUCCAGAUAGACUUGAAUUGGGAAACAGAAGGUCACUUGAGCAAGGAUCUAUUUUCCUAGAUAAGGAGGAGUAGUCUUCUAAAAGCUGUACCUACAAGCAGGUUCUUUCCAAUGACAGCGAUGGGUUUGUCUAAAAGGGUAGAUAAACAAUCUUUUGAAAGAGAUAGUGAAGUCAUCUUUGUGUAUAUAAUAGUACAUGCAGUUUUAGACAAGUUUCAGAUAUAAAGGCAAAAGGGCAGAACUAAAAGAAAUCAAUUAUCCAUAUGAUGAAUGGUGAUGAAAACAAAUAUCAUAAUAACAAAGCCUUGAAUAAAUUCAAUGAGAGUCUGCAUAUCAUGUUGAAUAAUCAUAAAGACAACAAAGUCAAUUAAGACUGAAGUGAAACAGGAGGGCAAAAAACAUGAUUAAAAAACUCACUUAGCAUCCUCCCUUUAACAGAAAAAAUACCAUCAAUUCCCAGUGAGCAAGGACUUGUGCUUGGAUCAUGAACCAAAUACCUCCAGAAUGAGUGUCUGCAAUCGCUAAGAAAUACAGCUGGGCUUCACGUUGUGUGCCAGCUCCAGCUGAAUGGUCGUGGCUGCCUAGAACUCUGUGUUAGGAGCUUCUCAGUAGCAAGUGGGCACGGUGAAGCAUCUGUGACUUCUGCUCCUUUCAUCAGUAAAGAGAAAACUUUCACACAUGACCUGUGAACUUUGUAUUCUCUGUUUGGAAGAUGUCCUGAGGCUCACCCUGGUUGCAGGGGAAACUGAAAAAGCACACAUGUAGCUUUCCUGGCCUCUGUGGUGAAGGAGGCCAGAGAGGAAGGCCUUGGGGGAGGUCUGCUAAGAUCUGGGAGGACUCAGGAGGUCAUUAGGCUGAUGAUGUUCACUGCCACCUCUGAAGUAGACCUAGGAGAAGAUAUCCUUUUCUGAGGAAAUGUAUGACUUCCCUAAUUUAUUUCUCACUCCUGUAGGCUCACGAAGCUAACAGUCACAGGGAUUUUGUUAGUAAUUUUCAUUUGGGUAACUGAAAGGCCACGUAGGGGUAGACAAGAGUCUCCUAGUGUCUAAAUUUCAGGAUUAGUUACUAAUGGACAAUGCCUUGUGAAGAAAUGAAAAAAAAAACAUUAGGAGGGGUCUUGGAUAUCAUAAAGAUGUGGGAAGAUCAGUGGAGCAGAAAUAGGAGAAUAGGAGGAAGGGAGGAAGGAAGGAAGGGGAAAGAAAUAUGGAAUGAAUGUAACACAAUUAUGUUCUGUACAUCAUCUCACCUUCAUGCAUAUGUAAUACUGCAUUGUGUUCUAUUCUCACUGCUGCCUACCCACAUGUGCAGUUAGUACCCUGAGAUGCCACUCUUAAGUGUUAGUGCUUGACAUAGUACAUGGCUAUUGAUGAUCCUUCCCCAGCUUUAUUUUAACUCUUCUUUGCCUCUGCUCUACUAGCUGCUACCGUCUGGACCUAGUUCAAGUGCCCCCAAAGGUCUACUGUGAUUGAAGACUUGACCCUCAGGAUGGCAUUGCUGGGAAGACAGGCCUUAGGUCAUUAGGGGGUGCCCUUGGAAGGAAGGAAUUGUGACAGUUCUCUGACUUCCUUCCUGUCCGAUCACGCAAGCUCUCUACACGCAUGUGCCUCUACCAUGAGGUGACACAGUGGACAGGGAAGGCCUCACCAGAACCAAGGCAAUGGCAGCACCAUGAGGUGGAACCUCACAAACCACAUUCUAGAUAAGCCUGUUCUUCAUGAGAAGGUUGUCACUGUAGUGACAAAAAGUUGACUAAGAUGUCGGUCAUUAAGUACUUCCGGCUUAUUCCUAGUUAGGGAAUUACUGAAGUACAUUUUCUUCAGUGUAAGGGAUCCUGAGACCCACUGGAACAUUUUCCAAGGAAAUGUCACUUUAGGAAAAUGCUAAUCAAAGCCUUUAAAAAGGACAGCAUGGAGUUGUAAGGAAGUAAUAAAAAUAAAGAGCAAGUCAAAAAUAGGUUUGUUAGAGACAAAGUAUGAAUUGGUUGAAAGUAGAUUUGGGAGAUAAUUAUGCUAAUGUAGACCAACUGCUGUGGCUCUCCUCUCCUGUGUGUCUUGGCACAGUGCACUACCCAGGGGCAUGUCCUUAAAGCCAUUGACCCAUCCUGGAUACAAGCCAAACAAGGAAGGGUCAAAAGCAGAAGCCCAAUUAAUCAGGUACCACCAGUGUAGGCGGGCCAGGACCCAAAGACUGGAAGGUCGGCUAUGACGGGGGAGCAUGAAGGUGUAAUAGAUCUCAGAACACAGGCAGGUCCAGAGUCUAGGAGGUUAGGAGUUUGGCAGAAAUAACUCUGGUAAUAAGAACUGAACUUGGACCCUAGGGCAGAAAGUACUCCAUUGUAUUCUACUAUCACUGCUGAAUGUGGAUGAAUUGCUGGGCAUUGUCAGGAAGUCUCAAAACGAUUUUUUGUGAUUAAA